GAGCUCAUCACUGUUAUUCACUUCACCUGUCAGUGGCUGUAAUGUUUUACCUGAUCGGUGGAAAUGUCAUUGGUCAGAAUUCCUAUGGUAUCAUGAAUGGAUGAAGUGUCCUGAGCUGCAGCAUCUGACCCCCUUAGAGCCACUGACCCUGGAACAGGAGCACGACAUGCAGGGGAGCUGGAGGGAAGACGAUGACAAUAAGCACACUGGGCAUCACCUGCUAUCAUGAUCUCCAGCUCAGCCAAGGAGAGGUCUGUUGUGUACGUCGGGAACAUGUUGACAUCUC